rnacentral:rRNA from 1 species
AGGUGCUGCAUGGCUGCGUCAGCUCGUGUCGUGAGAUGUGGGUUAAGUCCGCAACGAGCGCAACCCUUGUCAUUAGUUGCCAUCAUUUAGUUGGGCACUCUAAUGAGACUGCCGGUGACAAACCGGAGGAAGGUGGGGAUGACGUCAAGUCCUCAUGGCCCUUAUGGGUAGGGCUUCACACGUCAUACAAUGGUCGGUACAGAGGGUUGCCAAGCCGCGAGGUGGAGCCAAUCCCUUAAAGCCGAUCGUAGUCCGGAUCGUAGUCUGCAACUCGACUACGUGAAGUCGGAAUCGCUAGUAAUCGCAGAUCAGCAUGCUGCGGUGAAUACGUUCCCGGGUCUU